CGUAGGUAAUCUACCUCUGGGUGGGGAAUAACGACCGGAAACGGUCGCUAAUACCGCAUAAUGCAGCGGCACCACAUGGUGACAGUUGUUAAAGCGGGGGAUCGCAAGACCUCGCGCCUAGAGAGGAGCCUGCGGCGGAUUAGCUAGUUGGUAGGGUAAUGGCCUACCAAGGCGACGAUCCGUAGCCGGCCUGAGAGGGCGGUCGGCCACACUGGCACUGACAUACGGGCCAGACUCCUACGGGAGGCAGCAGUCGGGAAUUUUGGGCAAUGGGCGAAAGCCUGACCCAGCAACGCCGCGUGAAGGAUGAAGCUUUUCGGAGUGUAAACUUCAUAAGAAUGGGACGAAUAAGGAAGGGUUAACACCCCUUUUGAUGACGGUACCAUUUGUAAGCUCCGGCUAACUCCGUGCCAGCAGCCGCGGUAAUACGGGGGGAGCAAGCGUUGUUCGGAUUUACUGGGCGUAAAGGGCGCGUAGGCGGCGCAACAAGUCACUUGUGAAAUCUCCGGGCUUAACCCGGAGCGGCCAAGUGAUACUGUCGUGCUAGAGUGCGGAAGGGGCUACUGGAAUUCUCGGUGUAGCGGUGAAAUGCGUAGAUAUCGAGAGGAACACCUGCGGC
rnacentral:rRNA from 1 species